rnacentral:misc_RNA from 1 species
GCAACCAUUACUUUCUCCGCAUGCUUGCAAUGAUGAGUCGUGGCCACUAUAAUGCUGCUUAUGAUGUUGAUUCUAUUGAAGUUCGCGUUGAACAGCUGUUCUCCAGGGCAUCAUCUGUCAUUCUUGCGGAUAUUGCCUUUGAGAACCUUGAUGGUCUUGAAGAAUUUGAGGUCUUUCCAACUCCAGUUCCAGACCUUUCAUCCAAAGGUCCAUUAGUGUUGUCAGGCAGAUACCGAGGAGUAUUCCCUGACACGCUUAAAUCUAAAGGAGUCCUUGCAGACUUGAGUAACUUCUCCCUGGAUCUGAAAGCUAUACAGACAAAGGACAU